CGGCGGCUUGCUAAUACAUGCAAGUCGAGCGGACAGAAGGGAGCUUGCUCCCGGAUGUUAGCGGCGGACGGGUGAGUAACACGUGGGUAACCUGCCUGUAAGACUGGGAUAACUCCGGGAAACCGGAGCUAAUACCGGAUAGUUCCUUGAACCGCAUGGUUCAAGGAUGAAAGACGGUUUCGGCUGUCACUUACAGAUGGACCCGCGGCGCAUUAGCUAGUUGGUGAGGUAACGGCUCACCAAGGCGACGAUGCGUAGCCGACCUGAGAGGGUGAUCGGCCACACUGGGACUGAGACACGGCCCAGACUCCUACGGGAGGCAGCAGUAGGGAAUCUUCCGCAAUGGACGAAAGUCUGACGGAGCAACGCCGCGUGAGUGAUGAAGGUUUUCGGAUCGUAAAGCUCUGUUGUUAGGGAAGAACAAGUGCAAGAGUAACUGCUUGCACCUUGACGGUACCUAACCAGAAAGCCACGGCUAACUACGUGCCAGCAGCCGCGGUAAUACGUAGGUGGCAAGCGUUGUCCGGAAUUAUUGGGCGUAAAGGGCUCGCAGGCGGUUUCUUAAGUCUGAUGUGAAAGCCCCCGGCUCAACCGGGGAGGGUCAUUGGAAACUGGGAAACUUGAGUGCAGAAGAGGAGAGUGGAAUUCCACGUGUAGCGGUGAAAUGCGUAGAGAUGUGGAGGAACACCAGUGGCGAAGGCGACUCUCUGGUCUGUAACUGACGCUGAGGAGCGAAAGCGUGGGGAGCGAACAGGAUUAGAACUU
rnacentral:rRNA from 1 species